UACGUAGGGUGCAGGCGUUAAUCGGAAUUACUGGGCGUAAAGCGUGCGCAGGCGGUUUGCUAAGACAGGUGUGAAAUCCCCGGGCUUAACCUGGGAACUGCGCUUGUAACUGGCAAGCUUGAGUGUGGCAGAGGGGGGUGGAAUUCCACGUGUAGCAGGUGAAAUGCGUAGAGAUGUGGAGGAACACCGAUGGCGAAGGCAGCCCCCUGGGCUA
rnacentral:rRNA from 1 species